GGGUUGUGAGGUUAAGCGACUAAGCGUACACGGUGGAUGCCCUGGCAGUCAGAGGCGAUGAAGGACGUGCUAAUCUGCGAUAAGCGUCGGUAAGGUGAUAUGAACCGUUAUAACCGGCGAUUUCCGAAUGGGGAAACCCAGUGUGUUUCGACACACUAUCAUUAACUGAAUCCAUAGGUUAAUGAGGCGAACCGGGGGAACUGAAACAUCUAAGUACCCCGAGGAAAAGAAAUCAACCGAGAUUCCCCCAGUAGCGGCGAGCGAACGGGGAGCAGCCCAGAGCCUGAAUCAGUGUGUGUGUUAGUGGAAGCGUCUGGAAAGGCGCGCGAUACAGGGUGACAGCCCCGUACACAAAAAUGCACAUAUUGUGAGCUCGAUGAGUAGGGCGGGACACGUGGUAUCCUGUCUGAAUAUGGGGGGACCAUCCUCCAAGGCUAAAUACUCCUGACUGACCGAUAGUGAACCAGUACCGUGAGGGAAAGGCGAAAAGAACCCCGGCGAGGGGAGUGAAAAAGAACCUGAAACCGUGUACGUACAAGCAGUGGGAGCCUCUUUUAUGGGGUGACUGCGUACCUUUUGUAUAAUGGGUCAGCGACUUAUAUUCUGUAGCAAGGUUAACCGAAUAGGGGAGCCGAAGGGAAACCGAGUCUUAACUGGGCGUUAAGUUGCAGGGUAUAGACCCGAAACCCGGUGAUCUAGCCAUGGGCAGGUUGAAGGUUGGGUAACACUAACUGGAGGACCGAACCGACUAAUGUUGAAAAAUUAGCGGAUGACUUGUGGCUGGGGGUGAAAGGCCAAUCAAACCGGGAGAUAGCUGGUUCUCCCCGAAAGCUAUUUAGGUAGCGCCUCGUGAAUUCAUCUCCGGGGGUAGAGCACUGUUUCGGCAAGGGGGUCAUCCCGACUUACCAACCCGAUGCAAACUGCGAAUACCGGAGAAUGUUAUCACGGGAGACACACGGCGGGUGCUAACGUCCGUCGUGAAGAGGGAAACAACCCAGACCGCCAGCUAAGGUCCCAAAGUCAUGGUUAAGUGGGAAACGAUGUGGGAAGGCCCAGACAGCCAGGAUGUUGGCUUAGAAGCAGCCAUCAUUUAAAGAAAGCGUAAUAGCUCACUGGUCGAGUCGGCCUGCGCGGAAGAUGUAACGGGGCUAAACCAUGCACCGAAGCUGCGGCAGCGACACUAUGUGUUGUUGGGUAGGGGAGCGUUCUGUAAGCCUGCGAAGGUGUGCUGUGAGGCAUGCUGGAGGUAUCAGAAGUGCGAAUGCUGACAUAAGUAACGAUAAAGCGGGUGAAAAGCCCGCUCGCCGGAAGACCAAGGGUUCCUGUCCAACGUUAAUCGGGGCAGGGUGAGUCGACCCCUAAGGCGAGGCCGAAAGGCGUAGUCGAUGGGAAACAGGUUAAUAUUCCUGUACUUGGUGUUACUGCGAAGGGGGGACGGAGAAGGCUAUGUUGGCCGGGCGACGGUUGUCCCGGUUUAAGCGUGUAGGCUGGUUUUCCAGGCAAAUCCGGAAAAUCAAGGCUGAGGCGUGAUGACGAGGCACUACGGUGCUGAAGCAACAAAUGCCCUGCUUCCAGGAAAAGCCUCUAAGCAUCAGGUAACAUUAAAUCGUACCCCAAACCGACACAGGUGGUCAGGUAGAGAAUACCAAGGCGCUUGAGAGAACUCGGGUGAAGGAACUAGGCAAAAUGGUGCCGUAACUUCGGGAGAAGGCACGCUGAUAUGUAGGUGAAGUCCCUCGCGGAUGGAGCUGAAAUCAGUCGAAGAUACCAGCUGGCUGCAACUGUUUAUUAAAAACACAGCACUGUGCAAACACGAAAGUGGACGUAUACGGUGUGACGCCUGCCCGGUGCCGGAAGGUUAAUUGAUGGGGUUAGCGGUAACGCGAAGCUCUUGAUCGAAGCCCCGGUAAACGGCGGCCGUAACUAUAACGGUCCUAAGGUAGCGAAAUUCCUUGUCGGGUAAGUUCCGACCUGCACGAAUGGCGUAAUGAUGGCCAGGCUGUCUCCACCCGAGACUCAGUGAAAUUGAACUCGCUGUGAAGAUGCAGUGUACCCGCGGCAAGACGGAAAGACCCCGUGAACCUUUACUAUAGCUUGACACUGAACAUUGAGCCUUGAUGUGUAGGAUAGGUGGGAGGCUUAGAAGUGUGGACGCCAGUCUGCAUGGAGCCGACCUUGAAAUACCACCCUUUAAUGUUUGAUGUUCUAACGUGGACCCGUGAUCCGGGUUGCGGACAGUGUCUGGUGGGUAGUUUGACUGGGGCGGUCUCCUCCUAAAGAGUAACGGAGGAGCACGAAGGUUGGCUAAUCCUGGUCGGACAUCAGGAGGUUAGUGCAAUGGCAUAAGCCAGCUUGACUGCGAGCGUGACGGCGCGAGCAGGUGCGAAAGCAGGUCAUAGUGAUCCGGUGGUUCUGAAUGGAAGGGCCAUCGCUCAACGGAUAAAAGGUACUCCGGGGAUAACAGGCUGAUACCGCCCAAGAGUUCAUAUCGACGGCGGUGUUUGGCACCUCGAUGUCGGCUCAUCACAUCCUGGGGCUGAAGUAGGUCCCAAGGGUAUGGCUGUUCGCCAUUUAAAGUGGUACGCGAGCUGGGUUUAGAACGUCGUGAGACAGUUCGGUCCCUAUCUGCCGUGGGCGCUGGAGAACUGAGGGGGGCUGCUCCUAGUACGAGAGGACCGGAGUGGACGCAUCACUGGUGUUCGGGUUGUCAUGCCAAUGGCACUGCCCGGUAGCUAAAUGCGGAAGAGAUAAGUGCUGAAAGCAUCUAAGCACGAAACUUGCCCCGAGAUGAGUUCUCCCUGACCCUUUAAGGGUCCUGAAGGAACGUUGAAGACGACGACGUUGAUAGGCCGGGUGUGUAAGCGCAGCGAUGCGUUGAGCUAACCGGUACUAAUGAACCGUGAGGCUUAACCUUACAACGCCGAAGGUGUUU
rnacentral:rRNA from 1 species